CUUUACCAUGGCAAUAGAAACUCACUUCAGUCACUUGUUGCACAAUUUCGGGCCCAUCCGGUUUUUCGAAAGAACGAAAGAAUAAUAAGGUUUGUACGAUACCGCCUCAAAGUUCGCUAAUGAGCUUUACCUCUAAAAAUUCUUCCAUACGUUGGCUGCCGUUCGCUCUUUUUACGCUCUUGGUUGACAGCGCAGCCAGGGUUAGGAUGCCCUACGAUCGGUCAACUGAAAAUCUACUACGCAACUCGAUACCGGCGAACGACUUAGAUCUGCUCGGGACAAAGCAGAGCUUAUUAAAUAUGCAUUUCCUUUUAAUAAAAUCAUGAGUUAAUGAAUUUUGAAGUGACCUCCAACUUAGUAAUAUCAAAAUAAAUCAUUAAGUUGUGAUACUACCAAGCACAUUCACAAGCAUUUGUGUUGAACCGAUUCAGGGAAGUUCCGCACCAUGCGAACAAAUAAUGAAAUUGUUUAUUCUUUCGGGUGGGAGGCCAAGGUAAAAACACCAUAGCCAUUCUCUCACCUAUUGUACGAGAUAAGCGAAUUACUAUUCAGCCACUAUACACUGCAGGGCAUGGAAUUAGUCCUCAAAAAAUAAAAAUAAUAAUAAUAAUAAAAUAAAAUAAA